GAGGGGUACACAGCUAGGUGAGUUCUCCAGGAGGACAAAUGGGGAAAUAGCGAACAACAACAAACGAACUUGAAGAAACGGAAGCGACUGUCAGUUCCUCGUGGAACUCCAGGCCCUGGAGUUGCAUCCGGGGCAGGAUUUGGCGCCAUCCGCUUGUUGGAGCGCCCGGAACCCUCGCAGCGCGUCCUUGAAGGUUUCCAGUCGGUGAGCAGAAGCAACUUCCGGCUGCUCCGGAAGUUGUGGGAUCGUUUCCGGGGCGGCCAGAGGAGUGGAGCUCCGAUGGGUCGUAGCCGUAGCCGCUCCCCGCGGAGGGGGCCUUACGUAGCAGAGGGUAGUCUUGAACGAUGAUCUUUCUGCCUCCACUUCCCCAGUCCUGGUGUUACAGAGCGUAGGCGGUCCCGGUCCACAUCACGGGAUCGAGAAAGAAGGCGCCGAGAAAGGUCCAGGUCUCGGGAGAGGGAUCGCAGAAGGAGCCGCUCAAGAUCCCCACACCGAAGACGCUCCAGGUCUCCAAGGCGACAUAGAUCCACAUCUCCUUCCCCUUCUCGACUGAAGGAACGAAGAGAUGAAGAGAAGAAGGAACCUAAAGAAGGAAAGAGUAAAGAACGUCAGAUCACUGAGGAAGAUCUGGAGGGUAAGACAGAGGAAGAAAUAGAAAUGAUGAAAUUAAUGGGAUUUGCCUCUUUUGACUCCACAAAAGGGAAGAAGGUAGAUGGCUCUGUAAAUGCCUAUGCCAUAAACGUGUCUCAGAAGAGGAAAUACAGGCAGUACAUGAAUCGAAAAGGCGGAUUCAACAGACCUCUGGAUUUUAUUGCAUGAGACUUGAGGUGUUGGAGGAUUCCCCUUCAUCUGGGUCAGAGAGUAUUUUAUAUUUUGUAUUUAAUCCACCUCCAAACAGGAUCUCGGUUCUUCCUUCCUAUAAAGUAAGAACACCUUAUUUAUGACCCCCAGUGUACUUCCUUUCCUCAGAGGGAGGUGACACUUUUUAAGGUGGUGACCCUGUGGUGGCUACAGCCCGUUUGUCUUGUUCCUUUGAACCUGUGUGUGCUUUCUUUUUGAAUGUUUGUUAGGAGUUCUUAAAAAACUGAAAGUAACUUAGAUAUGAGUUUCUCCAAUAAAACUGUAUUUCUACCCAUUUUA